CAAGGAAUUUUCGUCAAUGGGCGCAAGCCUGAACGAGCAACGCCGCGUGGAGGAUGACGGCCUUCGGGUUGUAAACUCCUUUUGGGGGGGACGAUGAUGACGGUACCCCUUGAAUAAGGCUCGGCUAACUCUGUGCCAGCAGCCGCGGUAAUACAGAGGAGCCAAGCGUUGUCCGGAUUGACUGGGCGUAAAGCGCACGCAGGCGGUACUGCGCGUGGGGUGUGAAAUCUGGCCGCUUAACGGCCAGGCGCCAUCCCAUACGGCAGGACUGGAGGGCUGCAGAGGUCGAUGGAAUUGCCGGUGUAGUGGUGAAAUGCGUAGAGAUCGGCAGGAACACCCAGGGGGAAACCAGUCGACUGGGCAGCACCUGACGCUGAGGUGCGAGAGCGUGGGGAGCGAACCGGAUUAGAUACCCGCGUAGUCC
rnacentral:rRNA from 1 species